ensembl:lncRNA
AAAAAAAACAAUCUCCAGCUCCAGCUCCUAGAAAUGUGUACCAGUAUUAUCUCCCAACAACAAUGAAAUUAUUUUAAUUAAAAAAUAAUAAUAAACUUUUGACGAGCCAGUGUUUUCCUCACGACACCAUAGAUCAGCUCAAUAGACCUUUGAGUUUACCUGCAUAUAUCCUGUUGACCUGUCAGCUGUUUAACAUCUGCUGAUUUAGGAAACACCCAAGUUAACCAGUGAUAAGAGUCAAAGUUUAAUGUGAUCAGCUGCUGCUCGAUAUAACAUGAUGUCAUCGUAAUCUUCUGCACAAGAUAAGCAAACAAACAGGAUUUAAAAGAAGAGCGAUGUACACUGAGAUGACUACAGAGCACUUUAUAAGCAAAUCUGUUGCUUUAAUGAGAAUCUGGGCUGUUUGCUUUUGAAAUAAACAGAUUUCCUGACACACAUCUAUCCGAUUGGUACCUCAGUAAUAUAGUUUUGCCACCAUUUGUUUAAAUGCAAAAAAUAUCAUCCUCUCGAAGUGGAACACGGAGAGUGGAACAAACCAGUUAAGCUGGAACACCAGCUCUGAUUAUAACAAAUGGACAGGAAACGCCUUUCAUUUACUUAACAAUAUUCAUGCCUGCAGGCAAUGCAUUCAAUCUCACUCACCCAUCACUUCAAACUCGUCCCUUUGAUGCAACAUUCUGCCUAUAUCAAGAAAGAAACCGCAGUUUCACUUUUGUUUCACUGCAAAUCUGCAGAUUUAAAGAGCAGCAGUGAAUCUCAAAGACAUAUUUAUCAUCUUGCUCACAUUUGAUUUUAUUUACCAUCAGAUGGGUCACAAUUACGAUUUCAGGUGGCUGCUCGCUGCAAACACGCUGCUAUUAAUGAUUACAUUUGAACAGCUGUUAAAAAAAAAUUCCCUAAAAAUCUUGCGUCACAGCGCUUGGCAGACUGCCAACUCCUCUGUUUGUUUAGCAACUCACCUUCUAAUGCCGCUGUCUCAAAAGUCAGAAGAAGAAGAAGAAGAAGAAGAAUGUGAGACAUUUCUGCAGAACAACUCACAACCGACCCCCCUGAAGUUGCUGGAAACUGGAUGUGUGUACAUUUGUUGUGCCAAGGAGUCUGAGUGAAGCCCAACAGAACCGGACUGUGUUGUUCAUCAUUUGGUCGAACCCACAGCGCGCACACUGUAAGGUUCACGGAGACGUGGGCUGGAAACCUGCAUCAGCUGUCUCAGCGGGGUUUAGCUCUGAAGCUGCACACACUGUUUACCUCGCCUUAAAUCACACGCUAGCGGCAGAGCGUGGAGCUGUUUGUUUACUGAUGAUUUCAACCACAAAAACAUAUUGCACCAUAUUGUCAGUGUCAGCUGUUAACCUCAACCAUCUCUCUCAUCGUCAGCACCCCGCUAUAUCCUCCUACACACCGCAACACUGCCCUGAUCUCUCUCCCCUGUUUUUUUUUGUCGCCUAGAGGAAGAAAGAUCAUCCAGGAAGUGUUUAUAUUGUUUAUUAGUGUUUAUUAUAUAUUCAUUUUGCUUUUUG